CACUUUGGAUGGAAAACAGCAUAAACAUAAGAAUUCUGACUACUGUUAAUGUACACAACAAAGUUACAGCAUUCAAAGGUGAUGAGUGAUGGAGU